GCCAGCAUGGUGUAGUGGUUUGAACAUCGGACUAUGACUCUGGAGUCCAGGGUUCAAAUCCCAGCUCUGCCA